rnacentral:rRNA from 1 species
AUUGAACGCUGGCGGCAUGCCUUACACAUGCAAGUCGAACGGUAACAGGUUAAGCUGACGAGUGGCGAACGGGUGAGUAAUAUAUCGGAACGUGCCCAGUCGUGGGGGAUAACUGCUCGAAAGAGCAGCUAAUACCGCAUACGACCUGAGGGUGAAAGCGGGGGAUCGCAAGACCUCGCGCGAUUGGAGCGGCCGAUAUCAGAUUAGGUAGUUGGUGGGGUAAAGGCCCACCAAGCCAACGAUCUGUAGCUGGUCUGAGGGGACGACCAGCCACACUGGGACUGAGACACGGCCCAGACUCCUACGGGAGGCAGCAGUGGGGAAUUUUGGACAAUGGGCGCAAGCCUGAUCCAGCCAUGCCGCGUGCGGGAAGAAGGCCUUCGGGUUGUAAACCGCUUUUGUCAGGGAAGAAAAGGGUGUUUCUAAUACAGACGCCUCAUGACGGUACCUGAAGAAUAAGCACCGGCUAACUACGUGCCAGCAGCCGCCGUAACAC